ensembl:rRNA 5_8S_rRNA 5.8S ribosomal RNA
AACUCUUAGGAGUGGAUCACUCAACUUAUGUAUUGAUGAAGAAGGCAGUUAGCUAUAAGAAUUAAUGUGCCCUGCAGACCAUAUUGAUCCCUGAUGUUUCAAUCACAGUUGUAUUCCAGGUUCCCGCUGGGGCUAUGGCUGUCUCAGAAUUU